UGCGUAGGCGGCUUUGCAAGUCAGAUGUGAAAUCUAUGGGCUCAACCCCAUAAACUGCAUUUGAAACUGUAGAGCUUGAGUGAAGUAGAGGCAGGCGGAAUUCCCCGUGUAGCGGUGGAAUGCGUAGAUAUCGGGAGGAACACCAGUGGCGAAGGCGGCCUACUGGGCACCAACUGACGCUGAGGCUCGAAAGUGUGGGUAGCAAACA
rnacentral:rRNA from 1 species